GUAUGAAAUGAUGUUGUUCAUCUUUCGGGACUGACCUCUCAUGGAGAAAUUUUUAAACUACUGAUCAUAC